AUUGAACGCUGGCGGCAUGCCUUACACAUGCAAGUCGAACGGUAACAGGUCUUCGGAUGCUGACGAGUGGCGAACGGGUGAGUAAUACAUCGGAACGCGCCUAGUAGUGGGGGAUAACUACUCGAAAGAGUGGCUAAUACCGCAUGAGAUCUACGGAUGAAAGCAGGGGAUCGCAAGACCUUGUGCUACUAGAGCGGCCGAUGGCAGAUUAGGUAGUUGGUGGGAUAAAAGCUUACCAAGCCGACGAUCUGUAGCUGGUCUGAGAGGACGAUCAGCCACACUGGGACUGAGACACGGCCCAGGCUCCUACGGGAGGCAGCAGUGGGGAAUUUUGGACAAUGGGCGCAAGCCUGAUCCAGCAAUGCCGCGUGCAGGAUGAAGGCCUUUGGGUUGUAAACUGCUUUUGUACGGAACGAAAAGCCCUGGGUUAAUACCCUGGGGUCAUGACGGUACCGUAAGAAUAAGCACCGGCUAACUACGUGCCAGCCGCCGCCGUAAUAC
rnacentral:rRNA from 1 species